CAUUCACAUGGAAACCAGACUCUUAACACAGCUGAAUUUAUUUGGGGAUGAAUAUUAUAGCCCAGUGAUAUUUUGGAGAGAAAAUUAAGAACAAAAAACCAUAAGCAGAUCUUCUUCCUCCAUACAUCUAAAGACUUUUUGUCCAUUGUAGCAAACUGCAAAGAGACAGCUGCUCAUCUGUGACCACCGAAGGCCACCCCUCUCCAAAUAUACCUUCCAACUGGAAUUAGGACCAUGACAGAAGCUUGAGAUAAAGAGGAUACUAUUGUCCAAUCAUCACAGAUCUGGGCAGAAUUUGUCCAUCACUGGUACUGGAAGAGAUACUGGAAUGCUGAUGGCUCAAACAUUCAGGAGGAAGCUGCUGAUGUGCAAAGUACCUGCCCAGAUGCAGAGGAUGAGCACAGCCCACCUCAGGCUACAGAUGAUGUUGAACAAGGUCCUUCCUCCUUGUCCUAUCACUGGAUACCCUCGUGAACAUCUCAGCUGGGAAGAGACCUACCAGGAUCAUCAGCUCCAAUGUCUAACCCAACCUUGCAGUGGUCAGCAUGGAAAAGGUGGAAAAGAAGAGACUGAAGAAGAAAUAGGGCAGGGACCCUGCAGAGUAUCUCCAGGAAAAGUGAAAUAGCUGACAGGAUUCAGAUGCUUGAAGACUAUUUCUCUCUUAAUGGAAGAACAGCUGCAGAGAGAUAAAUUUUUGCAGUAAAUGAAGCUCUGAUGAGUAUCAGUUGCUGAAUUUCCCCUUUGUCCACCCUGAAACAUUUCACCUGUUCAUCUAAGGGCUUUUUGGAGCAGCAGUGCUGGUUUGUCCUUUCCACAGAGUGAACUGGCUUUUAACAUGGAUUUGUCCUAACUUAAUUUUACAGGAGGCUCAGUUCUCUUUUCCAGAUCAAGUCCCUGUGUCACAUAAAACCCAGACAUUCUGGGACAUGGAGAACAGAAGACCAUCUGGGAAAACUAUCAGUGACCUCUGAGACCACAGCAGUUUUGAUUUAGCUGGCUUUCCUAGGAAAAAUAAUUCACAUUUCCUAGAGCAAAAAAAAAACCGUAAUAGUACAACAACCAAGAAGUUGCAAAGUAAGGAGACACUCUGAUGUGUGAAAUUCCCCUACCUCCAAAGGAUUUUAUUUUAGGUAGCCUCAAUACCAUGUGGGAAUCCAGAAAGGGUUAAGAGACAGGAAUGUAAUAAAGGAUUUGAUAUGGAAGCUCCCGAGACAAAAAUCUUGCCUCAGAAUUCAUUGUGUAAAUUGAACUUCUCAAUGUGUGCAGGGUCACCACAUGAGCUGAACAAGUAGGGAUGUAAGGGUGGGUUUGAUUUUGUUUUCUGGAUUUUAAUUUUUUGUAAGUAUUUUGUGCUGCACACAGAAAACAUGCAGAGACUCUGACUGUGCCGCAGGCUGGAUUUACAAGCAUUUAACUGAGGGGACAGAAAUUUCAAACAGUUCAGAAUGCUUUGGGAUCAUUUGGCUACAGCUGGAGGAGAAUGUACACAAGUAGUUCUCAAUACUUUUGUGUUAGGUUUUAAAAAAGGCCCCAUUGAACACUUUGUUGUAUUAACAGUUUUUCUAUUUUUAUUCCAUAAAAGCAAGCAGACUUCUGCUAUUUCACCUUAGAGAUUUCCACAAGGGUGAUGGCCCAGAGACUGACUCCUGUGGCAGUAUCUAACCAUCUCAGUGGGAAUUUCAUCUGAAUAACAUGUCCCAGUUAUUCAGAAGUCUCAGAAGAGCUUGAUUUCAAGUUGCUUUCAGUAGUAAGGCUGAGACAGACAGGCAAUCCUAAGGUAAUAUUAUUGAAACCCUUACAAAACAUCAAACUCUCAUGAGACAGCCCAUCACCUUGGCCUCAAAGAGACAAUAUUUAACUAUCUUUUACUGCCAGUUUUAUUCACAAUCAUAGCUAAUCAUAAUUUUUUCCCCUUCUAUAAAUUCAGAGCCAUAAAAAAUCCUCUUGGUCUCCCUUAUUUCCUCUUGUUGGUGUAGAUAAAGACUACUUUACAGAACACUCCGUGCCUGUUUAUUUACAUGUAGCUUAACAUAAUGAGCCACUAAUCUUAUUUGAGGCCUCUGAGCAGUAUUGAAAUAUAGAUUGUUACUAAUAACCAUAGCACUUCCAUGUUACUGAGGCUGAGGUGGCAAUCCUUCCCUCCCUGCUUGCCCAUGGAGAAGAGGAGAAUGUUUGCCGAAUUUCCAGUGAGCACACCAGGAAAACAGCAUCAGCCACAGCAGAAACUCCCCGCUUUACUGAACAUGUUCCUCCUUUCAGUGAAUUCUUGUGAUGGAGUUUCCUAAACUAAAAAAAAAAAAAAA